CCUUAUGGAUGAGCAAAGAAAGUGGUUUCUUGAGAUGGAAUCUAUUCCCAGUGAAGAUGCUGUGAA
rnacentral:pre_miRNA from 1 species